rnacentral:misc_RNA from 1 species
GUGAAUCAUCAAAUUUUUGAACGCAAAUUGCACUCUCUGGUAUUCCGGGGAGUAUGCUUGCUUGAGGGUUGGUUGUUACCAUUGUUAAAAGAAAUUUUUACGGGACUGGAUUUUUCAAAAGUUAUUUUUUUUGUUAACUUAAAAUUAACAUUAAAAUAAGGGAUAUUGGAAAUGUUUUUUUUUGAUUCAUUUAAAAUUAUUAACAAAUUUGUUACGGUGUGUUUUUUUUCUUAUUUUUUUAUUUGGUUAAAGUAAU